rnacentral:misc_RNA from 1 species
AUUGAGGAGCUUGCCAUUCAAGUACGAUUUUUGUAUAUGCAACUUCUGGGCAGCACAAACACCAUCAUUAUCUGUGUCCCCGUUACUUGAGUUAAUCAAUGUGUUGAAUAUCAUGAUGACAUUGACCUCAGACUGUCACCCUUGUGUCACAACACAGGAAUAGUUUACCAGCGCCACACGGCCACAGUGGUGCAACAUCAUCUGGAACACUAUACUUUAGGUGUGUUGCAUGAGCCCUCGUACAUUAAACACUUGUGUGAUGAGACGGAAAGGUAAUGUAAACAACAAGGAUUCCCGAUGAGAUGUUACUAUGUGGAUACUGUGGUGAAGAUCUCCCACCGGGGACGAAAAGUGUAGAGGGAGAAAAGACGUACCAUGAGGAAUGUAUCAAUCUAAAUAUUCCAAGAGGGCAGGAAGCACUUGAUACCUUCAGAAACAUUUCUACACAGUCCAAUGUUUUGUGCAUGGCAAUACAUGUCAACUAUAUACACGGACUAGCAAAGGAAAACAGGGAACAAAAUAAAAGGAAGAAGGAAAAGCGGGCUAUCAAAACCAAGGAAUUGUUGAAAAAUGUAACUGCACUCCGCAAUUCUAAUUCUGGUCAUCUACUGAUUCACUUUGUUGGACGAGAAAAAGAAGACACCUUUACUGGGGCCUUUGAUGAAUUUGCUGAUGACAAACUUCAGACUUUAAUUCAAGAUGGAAGCCUGUUCACUGAUGUUUACACGAAACGGUUCUUGAGUGAUUAUGCCAUAGAUCUAGACAAACUGCAGAAGAAGCAACAUGGAGUACUUGAAGAGACAUCAGGGAAGCUGGAGAAGAAAAUCAAAGAACAUCAAAGUCAGCAGGAACAGCUGGCCAAGCUAGACCUGAAGGCCAAAGAGACACUAGGGGAAGAGUUGUUUGAGGAAAUACGGAAAAUACUGAGACAGAAACUAGUUGAGACAUCGCAGGAACUUGAAAGGUUGAAGAACAUCAAGUCAAAAGUAGAAAAGAAACUGUCUGUGUGUGUUGAUAAGGAUACAUUAAAGGAUACACAUCAGUAUAAAGAUUUCCUUGUACUGUAUGUUGAAGGGGGUUUUUAUCUCACAACAUCUGACUCUAAAACCAAAAUAGCUCUUGAUGAACGAAUCAUCAGUCCAUCUGAUCCAACUUUGAUAAAAUUCCUGAAAAACAGAACUCAGUUUAAAUCAGUGCAUCCUUCUGGACAUACAUUGGAGGAUUUAACCAAGUUGCAUGAGAGUAGAUCAGUUCAAUUCAAAGGUUAUUUCAAAGGGAAGGAAACAGAUGAGAAAAUAGUUGGUUUCAUGUUCGAUGACCACAAACUUCUUGAAUACGUUGGUGCAUUUACAAAGAACACAGAGGGUGGCACUUACUUUCUUGGCAUAGUAGAAAAAGAGCAUUUCUUCAAUGGAAGUCAUUAUAAGUCAAAGUUCGUGGAAAUACAGCGAGUUCCUAUCAGUAGUCAGCAAAAUGUAGCAGCUAAAAUAAAGGAGGGUGUUUCAAAAGGUGUGUUAAUCUGUGACUAUGAUGGGAAUGAAGCAAACGAUGAGCUAGUGGAUGUAUUUUUUAUUCCAUCUGGAGACAGUGGCAAACAUGAUGCUGACGAGAAGGCACCUGAACAUUUUAUAAUCCAAAUACAUGUCAAGCCUGUCAGUGGUAUUGUGUUCUAUGACAAACAAGGACCGCAAGCUUACAGAGUGGAAGGGGACACUAUCACAACUUUCUCUGUCAAAGAAUGGUUCCACGCCGUCAUUGAGAACAGCGUAGUGAGAUGGGAAAUUUACGUAUAGAGAUACACAUACAUAAAAGGAAAUAAUGCAAAACAUACCAAGGCGAGAAUUGUGCUUAGACAGCAAGGAUUUUCGGCGUCCUCGUUUGAAACCAAUCAGAAACAUCAUUUCUGCAAUUAAAAGUAAAUUUGUGAAGAAAGGUACAUUAAAUGUAGUUCCAUCAAGGAUACCCGAGCACCUGUUGGAUAUCAGAGAUGCCUUCAUUUCUCUGCUGAAGACGGACGGAGUUCUGUACCAUGAAAGCAUUGUUAAUGGUGAAUAUACGAGUGACAAAGACACAACAAGCCUUUUGUGUUUAUCAGAAUCAUUAGCAACAUUAUUAGAUUUCCCUGUGUCAAGAACGCAAGGAAAUACGAGAUGUGACAUCUUCAUAGCAAUGCCCCAUCAACCCCUCAUGGUGCUGACUCUGAUUGACGUUGGCAGUGAAACCGAGGAGAUAAGAAAUUAUAACACCAGUGUGGCCAGGGAAGUGACUUCAAAACUACGCAGGUUUACCAAUGAGAGCAUCAACGUCAUUCAUGGAGUCUUGAGUUUGAGUGACCUGACAGACACUGAUACGUGCUUCAUAAAGUUACAGAGAAUUGCAGCAUUAGCUGCAUCCUUUGUUCCGAAGACUUCUCUAUUGAUGACUCCAUCAAAAUAUGAACACGUGAUGAUGGCCUUCUGGGCAGCUGUUGCUGAGACAAAGUCAAUCCUGACAGAGACAGGUGAAGUAGAUGACAGUUGUAUCAACUUUCUCACCACAGAUCAGUGUGUAUAUCUUGUGGAGAACAUUGACAGUAAAUAUGUUCAGGCAAGAUGGGAGCCCGGCAGUGGAACCACAACUCUAAUGCUGGAGGUGGCCAGGAGGCUGAGCAGACUGGGGGAAACUCUACUGAUAUGCAACUCACUGGAAGAGAGGGACAGACUCAGGUCAGUUCACUCGUCAACAAUCUCGACAUUUGAUGUGGAAGAUUGGAACAUGUCCAAGUUUGAGAAUGUGGUGCAUGCAACUGGGAGUUAUCUGUCCGAACCUUGUGGUCGACAAUGGCUGUUCCUGA